CUAGCCCGCCGUCGCUGACGUAGCCACGGCCGCGGAAAGGCUCCGCGACCCCGACCAGCUUCGCUGGUUCGCCCGCCAAAUCAUGCUGCCCAAGUGGAUGGUCGACGCCCCUCCCCACCUCGCCCGCGACUGGCAUGUUUCUGCCAGGCCUGCUGGCAAGCGAUGCCUGGUCGUGUCAUCGAACGCCAUCACGAUAAGCAGGCUUCGCAAUGGGACCAUUCUCCAUCGGUUCCUUUCGGUGCUUCCCAACGGAUGAAAGAGGGGGAUCUCUGGCCCAGCAAGCUCCUACUGGAUCCUCGACUGCAUAUUCCACGAGCCUGAUGGGACGUAAUACAUCGUUGAUAUGAUUUGUUGGCGAGGCUAUUCGCUGUAUGAUUGCACCGCCAUGUUCAGGAUUUUCUGGGUGAACUAGAAGCUCACCGAGAUUUCUGCUGGUGAUCCUCCGUCGAUGUACCAUCGGUAUAGAUUUAGUGCCUUCCCUAUGUACGAGUCUACACUCGUGGGUCUUGAAGCAGCAUUCUCAGGAAGCACACCUUAUGUCAAGGAUGGUUUGCUGUUUUACAACAAGUAACGCCUGUUUCUAGAAUACCUGUAUUAAUCUGGUCUUGAUACAUGUGCUCAUGUUUGGUAUCUCCUUUUACAGUUUACACUGUUGAAUUGACUGAUCUAGGUGAUUUUUUUCUCUUAUCAGGCAUGUGCAUUAUCAAUCGGGAAUCACGCCCCUGACACUGGUAUGGAAAGAUGUGGCUUGCAUACGAAUAGUGAGAGACACAUUCCAAUAGAGCAGCAUGUUGUUCUUGAGCUGCAAGAGGAUGGAAAACUAAUUGCUUCGAUGGGUCUCUAAUUGUAUUUGGUACAGCGAAUUUAUACAGAAGUCAAACCUGCAGCCAGGGAACCUUCUCCGCUUCAGCUUGUAGAUGGGAAGAUAGAGAUUGGUGAGCUGCAAUUUGCCGGGAAGCUGAACCGCACUCGUACUCUUGCUGAUAGCCAUUCCAAAGUUCUGUUUCAGUAUGCUGCCAGGCAUGCUCCCCUCAGAAUCAAAGACCUCAUAGCCUCUGUUCAAUCAAACAGCAUGGUGGUUGAAUCUACAGAUGCUGAAAUGCAAGAUUAAGGUGAGGGAGUGCGGGUUUCUAUUUGCCCUUCUCUGCGAUUUCUCCAUGUUAUUCACUCUUUCGUAAUUGUGUAAUGACAGUCAUGCAAGGAAGAUUUUUUUGCAUUUGACUGGACACCAUGCUAGGAUGAAAUUGUUGCAAGUGAGUCCAAGGUCUGUCUCACUCUUUUAAAGUAUACACCCUGGAAGGUGUAUCAAAUUUCAUAGAAGAAGAGGCCAAGACGGCCGAACAACGCCAACAAAGGCACCCGAUACAAACACGACGCCACACGGAUUACAACACAACCCACACCAGCCGAACGACAAACUCGCCUUGCACCGUCCAGAGGAGACGAUACACUAAGCUACUGGGCCGCGUCACGACUGAAGAAGGGAACUCCGGGAAGCCAACUCCAACUCCAUGAUGGCACAAGCCAACACACCGCCCACCCAAAUGUGCCCAGGAACGACGAGUGAUCGGCGGGGCUGAACUGUUGGAGAUAUGCCCAAGAGGCAAUAAUAAAGUGGUUAUUAUAAUAUAUCUUGUGUUUAUGAUAAAUGUUUGGAUACCAUGCUAUAAUUGU